AUGAACGCUGGCGGCGUGCUUAACACAUGCAAGUCGAACGGAAAGGCUCCUGCUUGCAGGGGUACUCGCGUGGCGAACGGGUGAGUAACACGUGGGUGAUCUGCCCUGCACUUCGGGAUAAGCCUGGGAAACUGGGUCUAAUACCGGAUAGGACGAUGGUUUGGAUGCCAUUGUGGAAAGUUUUUCGGUGUGGGAUGAGCUCGCGGCCUAUCAGCUUGUUGGUGGGGUAAUGGCCUACCAAGGCGUCGACGGGUAGCCGGCCUGAGAGGGUGUACGGCCACAUUGGGACUGAGAUACGGCCCAGACUCCUACGGGAGGCAGCAGUGGGGAAUAUUGCACAAUGGGCGCAAGCCUGAUGCAGCGACGCCGCGUGGGGGAUGACGGCCUUCGGGUUGUAAACUCCUUUCGUCAGGGACGAAGCGAAAGUGACGGUACCUGGAUAAGAAGCACCGGCUAACUACGUG
rnacentral:rRNA from 1 species